AUUGAACGCUGGCGGCAGGCCUAACACAUGCAAGUCGAGCGAGCGGCGGACGGGUGAGUAAUGUAUGGGGACUGCCCGCUAGAGGGGGAUAACUACUGGAAACUGUGGCUACUACCGCAUACUAUCGGAUAACCCAUAUGGGAUUAGCUAGUAGGUGGGGUAAAGGCUCACCUAGGCGACGAUCUCUAGCUGGUCUGAGAGGAUGAUGAGCCACACGGGGAAGGAGACAAGGCCCAGAAUCGUACGGAGGCAGGAGUGGGGAAUAUUGCACAAUGGGCGCAAGCCUGAUGCAGCCAUGCGGCGUGUAUGAAGAAGGCCUUAGGGUUGUAGAGUACUUUAAGCGGGGAGGCGUUACCCGCAGAAGAAGCACCGGCUAACUCCGUGCCAGCAGCCGCGGUAAUAC
rnacentral:rRNA from 1 species